rfam:Epulopiscium sp. Nele67-Bin004 Nele67MMBin003_225, whole genome shotgun sequence.
AUAUCCCAUUCGAAAGAAGUAAGACCCCUUAUAGACGAUGAGGUUGAUAGGUUGGAGGUGGAAGUAUGGUGACAUACGUAGCUGACCAAUACUAAUGGUUCGAGGGUUUGACCUG